rnacentral:rRNA from 1 species
UAACGCGUGGAUAACCUGCCUCACACAGGGGGAUAACAGUUGGAAACGGCUGCUAAUACCGCAUAAGCGCACAGCACCGCAUGGUGCAGUGUGAAAAACUCCGGUGGUGUGAGAUGGAUCCGCGUCUGAUUAGCUGGUUGGCGGGGUAACGGCCCACCAAGGCGACGAUCAGUAGCCGGCCUGAGAGGGCGACCGGCCACAUUGGGACUGAGACACGGCCCAG